CCUGAGCCAAAGGGAAACACUUAACUGACUGAGCUACCCAGGCACCGCCACAUGAAAAAUCUUUUCAAAAUUUCAGAAAAUCUGCACAGAUUCCUGGAAACAUCCAACUGUUACUGAGAUGCCAGGAUUCUAGUAACUCCGUAACUCUGCUUUAGCUUCUUCUUGGGUGACUAGAAUGAGACACAUACACACACAGAGAGAUGCAGAGACACAGGCAGAGGGAGAAGCAGGCUCCACGCAGGGAGCCCGACGCGGGACUUGACUGAAGGCGGCGCUAAACCCGCUGAGCCACCAGGGCUGCCCGAAAUUUUUCUUUAUAUAUCUUUUCUUUAUAUAUCUCAGGAUUAUUUCCCUUGUUAGUUCAAACAUGAAUUACUUCUGUAAUUUAGAUGACUGACAAAUAUUUCUUAAGGAAGUGUUA